rnacentral:rRNA from 1 species
UAAUACGGAGGGUGCAAGCGUUGUUCGGAUUUAUUGGGCGUAAAGGGCGUGUAGGCGGCUCGUUAAGUCUGAUGUGAAAGCCCCGGGCUCAACCCGGGAAGUGCAUUGGAAACUGGCGAACUUGAGUACGGGAGAGGGCAGUGGAAUUCCCAGUGUAGGAGUGAAAUCCGUAGAUAUUGGGAGGAACACCGGUGGCGAAGGCGGCUGCCUGGACCGAUACUGACGCUGAGACGCGAAAGCGUGGGGAGCAAACAGGAUUAGAUACCCUGGUAGUCCACGCCGUAAACGAUGAGCACUAGGUGUUGCGGGUAUUGACCCCUGCAGUGCCGCAGCUAACGCAUUAAGUGCUCCGCCUGGGAAGUACGGUCGCAAGACUA